rnacentral:misc_RNA from 1 species
UACAUGCACCCCCCCCUCACCUGCACGCACAUAGAGAGGUGCUUGCCAGCGAAGGGUUUCUGCGGCUGCCACAGGUCUGGGAAGAGCCUCCACGGGUCCGAACUGCUGCGCCGAGGUCGCUCAUUCUCCUCUCCUUCCUACGCACACAACACAAAUCCAGGCACAUGCAUCUAGUGUGGCUUCCACACACGGAUAGGCGCAGAGGCACCACAGGGUUGUAAAGAAGACAAUAAACACAACCAGAAAACGACUCGAUCCUUGACGCGGUCAGGACACCGGCUCCGAUGCGCGCGGUUGUCUUCAGCGAUGUCUCCUCUGCAGAACUGGGAGAGCAUAUCAGAGCCAUCGCCUCCACGUCGUAUGCCGAGGUAGUGUAUGUCGAUGUUUCUGAAAGCUCUGAGGCGGACCUGGCAACGGCGUGGCAUACGCGCUAUGGUGGGGCGUCGCACGCUCCACCAGCUGCUCGUGACGAGCUGGAUGAUUUGAAGAACACCUUCGUGUGCUAUCUGACCGAACAGAAGACCCUCGAGGACUCUGAUGUAGUGUACGCUGUUUUCGUAGCGGAGGUGCCUACUCUUGUCCUGACUCCAUCCGUGACGCUGACACCGCUGAUGCACACGACAGCAGACGGUAGUGUGUCUGCCAGAAAAGCGGCCAUCGAAUCGUUGUUUUCAGUGGCGCCGUCAUCAUCCUCUGCGGAAGUGAUCGUCAUUGAGGGCGGCGAUGGCGCCGGCAAGGAGACACAGACAGGGCUCCUGGUGCGGCGAGUCCACGCAGCUGGCGACGAGGUUCACGCGCUGGAUUUCCCCAACGAGAAGGGCCUGUACGGGGGGCUUGUGCGGGCGGUGCUUUCGGGCAGGAAAGGGUCCAUUAGCGAACUUAACCCGCAGCUCUUCAGCUUCCUUUACUCCCUUAACCGGUUCGGCUGUGCUCGCCAGCUGCACUUUUGGCUGCGACGAGGCAGCUCUGUGGUGCUGGAUCGGUACUACACGGCGAAUUUCGGGCAUCAGGCCUCCAAGUUACCCCCAGAAGAGCGGGAGGCAUUCAUAAGCGACCUGGAGUUCAUGGAGGUGGAGUGGCUCGGUCUGCCCAGGGCGACGUAUGUUUUGUACUUGGAUCUACCGCCCGCCGCGGCCCUCGAGGCAAUGAGGCGGGAUUCGACCCGGAAGCAGCUUGAUAUUCACGAGACUGCUGGCAGUGACUACAAGGAAAGGGUUCGCCAAACAUACAGGUGGUGUUGCGAACACCUGCCAGGCUGGCAUCAUAUUGAGUGCUUCGACGAUGACGGGCGACGUCUCACACGAGAGGAGGUGCAUGCUUCCAUCACGAGCCAUUUGCGGGACGCCGGCUCACGUGCGAUUGGCGCUCCAUCGUAAACUUCCGUGCACGCGCUGCUGUUUUUUCGAGGCUCUGUUUGCGCGACCGGACCUCUUGCUCUGCCGGCGUUCCCUCGACGUGGCCAGUGACACAGACAGAGCCGGCUCUUUGCGCCUGUGCGCGCCAAGCGGGUUUUGUAGCAUUUUUGUGUUCUCGUUUUCGCAUGACGCUACUCGAAAUUGGCGGACUGCUCGAGGCUCAGAGCACACCUCGUUUCACGCUGUGAUCGUGCACGCAAUGGUACCUGCUACGCACAUCUCACUCGCGCUGCAUAAGCUUUCUUCGUCAGGUGUCUAUGGCUGCCCCCAUAUGCCCAUUUCAGGACGACAAGCCAUGAGCUUUUUGUGCGUCGGCACGUGUCCAUCUGCAAGCCUCUUCCCCUGAGCACACCGACUGCUUCCAGGGGCGUGCGGAUUGAGAAGGCGGAGUGCCCCUGCGGCCAGACUCAUAGCGACGCUCAACCUAUCACGGCAGAUGCAGGCGAGCCGUGCAGGCACGUUCCUCCACGACAUGGACGGAAGUGGCAGAUGCAGACCGUGGUCCUCCUGGACCGCAACGUGAUCCUGAAACAGGCCGCAAGAUCCACGAGUGCGAGCGCUGUGCGCACGCGCUGUCAUGCACAGCUGGCAUGGUGUAUGAAAUCCAGACAGGGCAUGCAGAGGGGAGGGGGGAGCAGGAGUGAUCGAGGAGCGGGGCGCAAAGAGAUCCAUGCGAAUCAACCCCGAAGUGCAUGCAUGCAAAACAUGCGACAUCUUCCUACAGUUGCCGGUUUGGGCUGAUGAGACACCAACGCCGGAAGGGUCACGAGAGCAUCUCGAAUGGCGCCAUCAAGUCCCCCCGGCUCCCAUUUCUGAGAGCCCCGACGCCAUAUUGUGGAAUGCCGCGGCUUUAUGCGACUGAGGGAGAGGCAUGACAGACAGACAGGGCGUGCAGGGUCUCAACGGGCCCUGACCUGAGGCUGGCUGCCUUCUUCCUCGAGCUCAUGCGGCAUGUCCCCAGACCACCCCUUACUACACGCACGACAUACGCAACAGCUUUCGCCCCCCCCCCGGAGCAGGACUCUGGGCCGCGGCUCGCCUGGAUGAAGGCAUGGGGUUCAGCUAAGUCUCCCGUGGCGCCGAUCACACAGCACACACCAGAAGAAGGUAAGAGAAGGAAACGAGAAGAGCCCGCAAGGCGCAUGGUCCGGCUUGGCGGCAGCCGGUUCGUCCGGGAUGACCGGUCUUUAGCCGUAUUCCUACAAAGGCAGGAGAACUGUGAUUGCACGCGUAGAUUUGUGGACGGGUUCGUGGUAGAAGGGCACGCUGAAGGAAAAUAUCGCUAUCGCAUAGAGGGUAUUAAGAUGCACAG